rnacentral:rRNA from 1 species
GACGAACGCUGGCGGCGUGCCUAAUACAUGCAAGUCGAGCGGACUUUCAAGAAGCUCGCUUUUUGAAAGUUAGCGGCGGACGGGUGAGUAACACGUGGGCAACCUGCCUGUAAGACGGGGAUAACUCCGGGAAACCGGGGCUAAUACCGGAUAAUAUCUUUCUUCGCAUGAAGGAAGGUUGAAAGGCGGCGCAAGCUGCCGCUUGCAGAUGGGCCCGCGGCGCAUUAGCUAGUUGGUGAGGUAACGGCUCACCAAGGCGACGAUGCGUAGCCGACCUGAGAGGGUGAUCGGCCACACGGGGACUGAGCAACGGCCCAGACUCCUACGGGAGGCAGCAGUAGGGAAUCUUCCGCAAUGGACGAAAGUCUGACGGAGCAACGCCGCGUGAGCGAAGAAGGUCUUCGGAUCGUAAAGCUCUGUUGUCAGGGAAGAACAAGUACCGUUCGAAUAGGGCGGUACCUUGACGGUACCUGACCAGAAAGCCACGGCUAACUACGUGCCAGCAGCCGCAGUAA